GUCGAUUUGUAAAUGGUAGCAAUACUAUGAGAGUGGCGUUUUGGUGCGUAUUUCGUACACAACCUGCCUUGUACUGGGGGAUAGCCUCGGGAAACUGAGAUUAAUACCCCAUAACUCUUUUAUGUGGCAUCACAUUGUAAUUAAAGCUCCGGCGGUACAAGAUGGGUGUGCGUCCGAUUAGGUAGUUGGUGAGGUAUUUGCUCACCAAGCCGUUUAUCGGUAGCUGGUCUGAGAGGUUUAUCAGCCAUUGAGAUGGCACUGAGAUUGAGAUGGCCCGACUCCUUUUGGAGGCAGCAGUAGGGAAUAUUGGACAAUGGUUUCAAGUCUGAUCCAGCCAUCCCGCGUGAAGGAUUAAGGCCCUCUGGGUUGUAAAUUGAGACCUCUCCUCGGGAAUAAAAAGCGGUAUUCAUAUCGCCUUGAAGGUACCAGGGGAAUAAGCACCGGCUAACUCCGUGCCAGCAGCCGCGGUAAUUUUGAGGGUGCAAGCGUUAUCCGGAUUCACUGGGCUCAAAGGGUGCGUAGGUGGUCUGUUAAGUCAGCGGUGAAAGCCUGGAGCUCAACUCCAGAAUUGCCAUUGAUACUGUUUGAUUGAGAGAAUCAAGUUGAGGUGGAUGGAAUAUUACAUGUAGCGGUGAAAUGCUUAGAUAUGUAAUAGAACACCGAUUGCGAAGGCAGUUCACUAAGCUUGCAUUGACACUGAGGCUUUAAAGCGUGGGGAUCAAACAGGAUUAGAUACCCUGGUAGUCCUUUCCCUAAU
rnacentral:rRNA from 1 species